GUGUUCUGCUGCAUCCGGUGCCACCUCAAAGAACACCUUCUUCUAGCUGGGCAUUGAACGCCUCAGGGACGACGAGGUGCAGCAACUGGGGUGGAAGCAGUUCAACUACAUGAUGAAAAAUUGAGUGAAGGGGUUAAGACGGUUGCGUUGUGCAUGCGCUGCUUGCUUGCCGCGGGACUUGCUUAUGGAGACAUUUGCAGCUACAGAGUAAAUAUGGGAGCUCUAGCAAAGCCUUGGCUUCUCAUCUAUUUCACACUUCAUGCUUAUUGCACUGGAAGAGCAAACUUGGAAGAAAGGCAAAAACAGCGCCAGAGUGCAGAAUAACAUCCAUUUUUGCCAAGAAUGCCAGGGUACAGGAAGAAAGCCAACCAUUUCUUUAUCUGAAGUUUGGAAGAGCACAUGAUCCACGUCCUCCUCGUCCCUGGCGCUGCUCCCCGUCCGCCUCCUGGUUAUCCAUGGCCAUACUCAAAUGUCCUAUGCCCCCUCCUGGUCACUGUUAGAACUUUAGAAACAUGGCACUUAUAUUUAUGCAUGAGGAUUUAUAAACUUUCAUACAAAUUGUAGGAAUAUACUACAGUUAGUGGAUUUUUUUGGACAAAUUGUAGGACUAUACUACUGUUUAGCACUUUCUGAUGAGCACUUUCUAAUUUUUAUACAAGUUCCGUAGCUGUAGCACUUUCUUUUAAUUUGGAAACUUUGUUCAACAUCUGUUUAUGUUGCCAUGUAAUCUGGAUGAUGACUAAGGCGUAAUUUUAGUUAAUUAACCUAGGCACUUCGUUAUUUGCACUGCCAGUUUGUUAUACAACACAAAAUCAAAUGGAUCAAUCUUAAUGCCUGCAUAGUUUAUUUGCUCCCAUGAUCACUUCUGGGCGGAUCCACAUACAAGUUGAGGAGGCACGGCCAAGGCUGGGAGGAAAGGCGUUGUCGUCAUCGCCAAACUGGGAGCUCUACGCUUUGACGGUUCUCGCUUCAAUUAUGGAUUGCCUGAAGCUUCUGAACAGUUUUUAGUUAUUUCUUUCUUACAUUUUCACUUUCAACACUAAUUCAUUGCCCGAAGCUUGCAGAGUAUUACUAAUUGCUUGCUAUUCAUUAUUGCCUGAAGCGAGAGAACAAUUUAGAUAUUUCUCCGGUAAUUGAUAGUUGUCAUAUAUAUUCUUGUGUUUUCUUUACUGCGGAGACCACUGAUUAUUUACCCUGGAGUAUAAUAUUUGUGAUUAACACCUAUUUAUCAACAUAUUUCCUGAAGAAGUUUGCAAUGGAUCAACCUUGAAGACACUCGGAACAUUUACUCGAGUGAAGGUACUCGUGGCGCACUUGGCACUGCCAUGCUGGUCAGGUCGUUCAUGCUCGACCUCGCCGAUUUUUGACCUCACUGGCUUGACAGUGUCCUUUGUGAUUCUGAACAUAGGCACUACUCUCUUGGACGCCGCCGACUCGGGUGCUACUCUCCUGAACGCCGCCGACUCAGGUGCCAUCUCUGUCCAAGAUUUUAUAAUUUAUGUUUUAACUAUAUGUAUUUGGCUAUCAAACACCUUUGCUGCUAUCCAAUUUUGUUCAUGCAAAAGUCUGUUCUACUCCCUCUGUCCCAAAAUAAGUGACUCAACUUUGUACUAACUUUAGUACAAAGCUAGUACAAAGUUGAGUAACUUAUUUUAGGACGGAGGGAGUAUAUAGGUGUACAGUUUUCAUGUUAACUGAAAAGUACCAAAGUUGUAUAUCCUAGCUGCACCAAACUACAAUUUUUUUGUUUUAUUAAUAUGAGAUAUACAAGAAAGUGCAGCGGGCAUGGCUUGUACUCAUGCUUGAGGAUAUUUGGCUUAGGCUCCUGGACUAUGUCACGGCCACACUGAAGAUGGCACACUUGUGGUUAUCUUCACGUGUCAUUGGUGGUCAGAGAAACCAAACAAAGCUGGAGUGAAAGGUUGAAACAAAACAAAGGCUCUAGGAGUCUCAAUACAUUGUUGGAAAUUUGUGCCAAACAUUAAGGUUGAUUUUAGUUCCUUCAUCCUUCUAGAGCAUAAGAAAAAUAUUGUGCUUUGCUUGAAAAAUUUGUGGCUUAAUUCUGGAAGGCAUUAAGUUUCCAUACAUGCUGGUAUUAAUCAAUCCAUCCCUCUAAAACAUGAUACCCUCUUUCACAUGCUUCAUAUAAGUUAUGCACAUGCCAUCUCGCCAAGCACUGAUAACAUGUUCCAUUUAACAGAUCAUCUGAGAUUUGCAUAAUUGUUUUGAGAAUGGGCAGGGCAGCAUCGACACCGGCCUCAAUCAGUGUCGGGGCAAUGGUGAACCGACGAAGAAGGCGGUUCGGGUAGGGUGGCACUCGAUAUUGACACCGGCCACGACUAGCGUCGGAGGAUGGGUCGUUGGGACGGAAGGAGGAAGACAAAGAGGAGGAAGAAGACGAUGAUCACAAAAUUUUACCACCGAUAAAAAACAGGCGACCGGUGCAUAGUUGCUCUUAUAGUAUCCGCUAAAGAAAUUGAUAAAAGUCGAUAUAUAUUCAAAGGACUUCACUCGUGUCACUUAAUCAUCAGUUUGAUUUAUUUUCCUGUAUUUCGCCCGUAGCAACGCACGGGCAUUGUACUAGUGGUCUUAGAAACCCUGCACAUGCUCUCCAUGCCACCACUCCCCCUUACAGCCUCUUAAUGCUCAAUAAAAGAAAAAAUGAUGGUGUGCUGAUUUUGAUAAGGAUAGAAAUCUCUUUGGCUCCAAGGAUUCUUAAAAGAUGUUUCCGGGAUUCUACUCCUUUGGAAUUCUUUGCCCACAUCUAUUAUUUUAUUCAUAAUAUUCAUUCUACUAUAAUUAUUUUCUUGGAAACCAUAUGUGUUAGGUUUAACUUUAUCCACUCCAAUCUCUUAGAAGGAAUCAUACAAUUUUCCUUGCAUAAUAAUCAAACAACAGCUCAUUUCUAGAGUAGUCGUGAAAUGAAAAUACAUGUCAUUCUAAUUUUAACGUUUUCUUCCAAGCAUUUGCUCAUUUCCUUAGAAGAAGAGUUAUACCGUAUCAGCUUGUUUUUUCACUCGUGCGACAACAUAAAAAAAAC